GGGUCAGUAGGUUGGUCGUGCCACCGGUACGUACUGGUCUCACUGAUUCCUCCUUCCUGAAGAACCGUAAUGCCAUUAAUUUGGUGUUGCGGGGAAACAGGACUGUUACUUUGAAAAAAUUAGAGUGUUUAAAGCAAGCUGACGCUUGAAUACACUAGCAUGGAAUAAUGAAAUAGGACGAUCGAUCCUAUUUUGUUGGUUUCUAGGAUUGACGUA
rnacentral:rRNA from 1 species